CACGUAGGGUGCGAGCGUUGUCCGGAAUUAUUGGGCGUAAAGAGCUCGUAGGCGGUGUGUCGCGUCGGCCGUGAAAACCUGCAGCUUAACUGUGGGCUUGCGGUCGAUACGGGCAUCACUGGAGUUCGGCAGGGGAGACUGGAAUUCCUGGUGUAGCGGUGAAAUGCGUAGAUAUCUGGAGGAACACCGGUGGCGAAGGCGGCAUCCUGGACCGGCAUUGACGCUGAGGCGCGAAAGCCAGGGGAGCAAAGCGGG
rnacentral:rRNA from 1 species